UCCGGCUUAUCACCGGCAGUCCCACUAGAGUGCCCAACUAAAUGCUGGCAACUAAUGGCGAGGGUUGCGCUCGUUGCGGGACUUAACCCAACAUCUCACGACACGAGCUGACGACAGCCAUGCAGCACCUGUCCCACUGUCCAUUGCUGGAACUCCCUCAUCUCUGAAGGCGAUCAGUGAAUGUCAAGAGCUGGUAAGGUUCUUCGCGUUGCAUCGAAUUAAGCCACAUACUCCACCGCUUGUGCAGGCCCCCGUCAAUUUCUUUGAGUUUUAAUCUUGCGACCGUACUCCCCAGGCGGCACAUUUAACGCGUUAGCUUCGCCACAAAAGGGGUCGAUUCCUCUUACAGCAAAUGUGCACCGUUUACAGCUAGGACUAC
rnacentral:misc_RNA from 1 species